AAUGAACGCUGGCGGCAGGCCUAACACAUGCAAGUCGAACGGGUCCUUCGGGACUAGUGGCGGACGGGUGAGUAACGCGUGGGAACAUACCCAAAGGUACGGAAUAGCCUCGGGAAACUGGGGGUAAUACCGUAUGUGGUUGAGAGACGAAAGAUUUAUCGCCUUUGGAUUGGCCCGCGUUGGAUUAGGUAGUUGGUGGGGUAAUGGCCUACCAAGCCGACGAUCCAUAGCUGGUUUGAGAGGAUGAUCAGCCACACUGGGACUGAGACACGGCCCAGACUCCUACGGGAGGCAGCAGUGGGGAAUCUUAGACAAUGGGGGAAACCCUGAUCUAGCCAUGCCGCGUGAUCGAUGAAGGCCUUAGGGUUGUAAAGAUCUUUCAGAUGGGAAGAUAAUGACGGUACCAUCAGAAGAAGCCCCGGCUAACUCCGUGCCAGCCGCCGCCGUAACAC
rnacentral:rRNA from 1 species